rnacentral:lncRNA from 1 species
GUAAAAUCUUCCGGGGACGUUGGGUUUCUCCUCUUACGAUCUUGGGGCAGAGGGCUCCAGUGAGUGAUGCCAGAAUGUAAACACAUGAGAAAGAAAGAAUUGUCCAUAGGUCCUGUCAUCAUAAAAAACCCUGUUACAGAAGACAAACAUUCAAGUUGCCUGUAAUCUCAUCUCACAAGAGAUGAGCUAAGGGCAGAAGUGCUCCAUAUCCCUUUCCCUGUAGAAAAAUAUCAUUAAUCUCUCUGUGAAUGACUUCAAUAAAACGAUGUCAAAGGAGGAGGGGAAGAAGUGGGCCUCACCCCUUCACUCUCUUCACUCUCCCCGAGGAGGCUUCGUGCUCUUGGCCCCUCAG